GACAGAGGGUGCAACCGUUGUUCGGAAUUACUGGGCGUAAAGCGCGUGUAGGCGGCCAUGCAAGUCGGAUGUGAAAGCCCUCGGCUCAACCGGGGAAGUGCACUCGAAACUGCAAGGCUAGAGUCUCGGAGAGGAUCGUGGAAUUCUCGGUGUAGAGGUGAAAUUCGUAGAUAUCGAGAGGAACACCGGUGGCGAAGGCGGCCAACUGGACGAAUACUGACGCUGAGACACGAAAGCGUGGGGAGCAAACAGG
rnacentral:rRNA from 1 species